CGUCAGAGAACGCUGGCGGCGGUGCUUACACACUGCAAGUCGAACGGUGACGGUCAGCUUGCUUGGUCUGAUCAGUGGCGAACGGGUGGAGUAACACGUGAGUAACCUGCCCCAGACUCUGGGAUACCCGGAAACCGGAGCUAAUACCGGAUAUGACCCUCGUACGCAUGUGCAGGGGGUGGAAAGUUUUUCGGUCUGGGAUGGGCUCGCGGCCUAUCAGCUUGUUGGUGAGGUAGUGGCUCACCAAGGCGACGACGGGUAGCCGGCCUGAGAGGGCGACCGGCCACACUGGGACUGAGACACGGCCCAGACUCCUACGGGAGGCAGCAGUGGGGAAUAUUGCACAAUGGGCGGAAGCCUGAUGCAGCGACGCCGCGUGAGGGAUGACGGCCUUCGGGUUGUAAACCUCUUUCAGCAGGGAAGAAGCGCAAGUGACGGUACCUGCAGAAGAAGCACCGGCUAACUACGUG
rnacentral:rRNA from 1 species